CCUAAAAUGAGCAAAUAAGCUGUGCAUCAUCUCUGUGAUUUGGGAAGGAAAUGACUGAAUAUGAUGAAGCCAAUUGAUGAAGAUAUCAAUUGAAUGGCCACCGAGUGCAUCACUGCUACCUGAACCCAUCAGUUAUCUUCUGUGAAGACUGCAUUCACAAACCGCUCUACUGCGACAGCUCAGAUGUUACGGCCUGUAAAAGUAAACAUCACAGCUAAACAACGAGAGCUAGUUGUGGUGGGAUUCUUUUGGCCAAUAUCCCCAACAAGAAUCAAUGACAUCUAGACCAGGUGGAGUGUGAGGAGGACCGUCAGAGACUCCAGCCAGCCGAGCCAUGGAUUGCUCUCACUGUUACCAUCAGGCAGACGUUAUCACAGAACCUACACCAGCAGACAGUGUGACAAGUUCCUUUCACAGGCAAUCAGACUGAACCAAACUCAUACCAGUAAAACCAUACACACCCCACCAACCUCAUAUGCCCUGCACUCUUAUCAGUUAUGCUGACUGGACUCAAUAUUAUUAUGCACCCUGACAUUCUGUUUGCACUAAUUCAUACCGUGCUUUACUGCAGAGAUGUAUGUGUACUGUGAUUAUUAUUGUUUUCAAUUCAUGCUCUUUGUAUAGCAUAAUUUUUAACAUAUAUUGUUCUCUACCUGAAUUGAGUCCCUUAUAUAUGUGUGUUGCAUAUAUAUAUAUUCAGAAUUUGUAUUUCAUAUAUAUUCAUGAAUUAAUUCAUUUGUCAUCCAUACUGUCACGCUGCAGUCUGCACCCAAGACUUUCAUCACCUGUAUACUUGUGUUCAUUGUAUUGUGACAAUAAAGAUAUUUGAUUUAAAUUA